ACAGCUUUGGACAAAAGUCUGUAGCCAGUGCAUUCGUAACUCCCCUUACACAAGGGCUGACUGAGGCUGUGGGAAGACAUUUUACUCAUUUGCUUUCUUUUUUCUUAGAGUCAUCUUGUCCUUUUCUCAGGUGUUUAUCACCUAUUAUCCUUUCACCUGUAUUGGUACUCUGGUGGGAGAAAGUCCCAGGAAUUGUCCGCCGGUAUAGGCCUCAUUAAAUGCAGCACU
rfam:Ornithorhynchus anatinus Cont23758.1, whole genome shotgun sequence.